CCCUUAGAUGUUCUGGGCCGCACACGCGCUACACUGAAGGAGGCAGCGUGUACUCCUGGAUCGAAAGAUUUGGGUAACCCGCGAAUCUCCUUCGUGCUAGGGAUUGAGGUUUGCAAUUAUCCUUCAUGAACGAGGAAUUCCCAGUAAGUGCAAGUCAUAAGCUUGCGCUGACUACGUCCCUGCCCUUUGUACACACCGCCCGUCGCUACUACCGAUUGAAUGGUCCGGUGAAAAUUUCGGACAGUGACGAUGCUGGCGGUCCGCCGCCGGCGCUGUCGCUGGAAGAUCUUUAAACCUUAUCAUUUAGAGGAAGGAGAAGUCGUAACA
rnacentral:rRNA from 1 species